rnacentral:rRNA from 16 species
GACUCUCGGCAACGGAUAUCUCGGCUCUCGCAUCGAUGAAGAACGUAGCGAAAUGCGAUACCUGGUGUGAAUUGCAGAAUCCCGCGAACCAUCGAGUCUUUGAACGCAAGUUGCGCCCGAGGCGACUCGGCCGAAGGCACGCCUGCCUGGGCGUCA